GAGGACAACCAGUAGCCUGUUCUGCUCUUAUCUACUAUGGUGUUCACCUAAUGCCACUGUGGCUUCCCUUUUUUUUGACUCAUACAGGGCCAGGACACACAGAAUAUAUAUAAGUAUACCCGUUAUGUCGGGUCCCACUGCUGACCCUUUCCCACUGUGGGAGGUCAGGACCGUGUUAUCGCUAAGGUACCGCUGGGUUUAUUGAACUGCAAGUUGAAGAAGCUUCUGUGGCAGCAGCUGGAUUUGCACCCGUCACUCAGGAGGAGGUCUUGGCUGUACAGUUGAACUAAAGAAUUUUUCUGCCUGAAGCCAAAACAAACAGAAAAUAACUAACAGUAAUAGGGUGGGAGCCUUCAAACACGAGAUGUGUUCAUUACUGGUUUCAGAGGUGAAGAAAAUACAUUUAAAGAGCACAGGCUCCUGGAUUUGUAGAAGACAGACAUCCAGGGCACUUCUUGGCAUCCACAGGAAAAUCAUAUGGGAUUAAAAACCCACAGCAGUAAGUACUCGCUGCAUUAAAUGUUUAUUAAGUGGCAUGCUGUCAAAACCUAGAUUUAAUAGUAAAUACAGGAGGACUUUAAUGGAAAUUGGUUGUAUUUGAUUUUUCUUAGGAAUUGCUGAAAGCUGCCGCUUGAGGAUUACAACUUCACCUUUUGCUUUUAUGGAUGCUUGUUUACUAUCCAUGUGGUAUCCUCUGGACAGCAAAUAAUCCAUUCAUUAUCCACACUGAUUGAGUGCAGGAGUAGUGCAGUGGGAACUACUUCACUCAGCUGACGG
rnacentral:lncRNA from 1 species